rnacentral:rRNA from 1 species
GGCGGCGUGCUUAACACAUGCAAGUUGAACGAAGAGCGAUGGAAGCUUGCUUCUAUCAAUCUUAGUGGCGAACGGGUGAGUAACGCGUAAUCAACCUGCCCUUCAGAGGGGGACAACAGUUGGAAACGACUGCUAAUACCGCAUACGAUCUGACCUCGGCAUCGAGGAUAGAUGAAAGGUGGCCUCUACAUGUAAGCUAUCACUGAAGGAGGGGAUUGCGUCUGAUUAGCUAGUUGGAGGGGUAACGGCCCACCAAGGCGAUGAUCAGUAGCCGGUCUGAGAGGAUGAACGGCCACAUUGGGACUGAGACACGGCCCAGACUCCUACGGGAGGCAGCAGUGGGGAAUCUUCCGCAAUGGACGAAAGUCUGACGGAGCAACGCCGCGUGAGUGAUGACGGCCUUCGGGUUGUAAAGCUCUGUUAAUCGGGACGAAAGGCCUUCUUGCGAAUAGUGAGAAGGA